rnacentral:rRNA from 1 species
UACGGAGGGUGCAAGCGUUGUUCGGAAUCACUGGGCGUAAAGCGCGUGUAGGCGGUGACGCAAGUCGGGUGUGAAAGCCCUGGGCUCAACCCAGGAACUGCGCUCGAAACUGCGCCGCUAGAGUACGGGAGAGGGAUGUGGAAUUCCUGGUGUAGAGGUGAAAUUCGUAGAGAUCAGGAGGAACACCCGUGGCGAAGGCGACAUCCUGGACCGAUACUGACGCUGAGACGCGAAAGCGUGGGGAGCAAACAGG